AGGAUGAACGCUAGCGGCAGGCCUAAUACAUGCAAGUCGAACGAACCCUUCGGGGUUAGUGGCGGACGGGUGAGUAACACGUGGGAACGUGCCCUUUGGUUCGGAACAACUCAGGGAAACUUGAGCUAAUACCGGAUAAGCCCUUCGGGGAAAGAUUAUCGCCAUUGGAGCGGCCCGCGUCUGAUUAGCUAGUUGGUGAGGUAAAGGCUCACCAAGGCUUCGAUCAGUAGCUGGUCUGAGAGGAUGAUCAGCCACACUGGGACUGAGACACGGCCCAGACUCCUACGGGAGGCAGCAGUAGGGAAUCUUGCGCAAUGGGCGAAAGCCUGACGCAGCCAUGCCGCGUGAAUGAUGAAGGUCUUAGGAUUGUAAAAUUCUUUCAGCGGGGACGAUAAUGACGGUACCCGCAGAAGAAGCCCCGGCUAACUUCGUGCCCAGCAGCCGC
rnacentral:rRNA from 1 species